rnacentral:rRNA from 1 species
UUUUAAAUGAAGACCAGUAUGAAUGGCAUCACGAGGGCUUAACUGUCUCCCCUCUCCAGUCAAUGAAAUUGACUUUCCCGUGCAGAGGCGGGAAUAUCUAUAUAAGACGAGAAGACCCUGUGGAGCUUUAGACCUAAAAUAAGCCACGUUUAGUAUACUGUUACACCAGUAAAAACCUAAUGGUUAAAUAUUGAAGUGUC